CGAGUUAUGAUCCAGAGUACCACGAGACACGUGAAACCUUGUGGGAAGCAGGGAGGACCACCUCCCAAGGCUAAAUACUACCUGAUGACCGAUAGUGAAGCAGUACCGUGAGGGAAAGGUGAAAAGAACCCCGGGAGGGGAGUGAAAUAGAACCUGAAACCGUGUGCCUACAACCGCUCAGAGCCCCUUAUGAGGGUGAUGAGGUGCUUUUUGUAGAACGAGCCAACGAGUUACGGUAUGUAGCAAGGUUAAGUACUUAAGGUACGGAGCCGAAGGGAAACCGAGUCUGAAUAGGGCGACUAGUUGCAUGCCGUAGACCCGAAACCGGGUGACCUAUCCAUGGCCAGGUUGAAGCGAGGGUAAAACCUCGUGGAGGACCGAACCACGUUGCUGUUGAAAAAGCAUGGGAUGAGCUGUGGAUAGCGGAGAAAUUCCAAUCGAACCCGGAGAUAGCUGGUUCUCUCCGAAAUAGCUUUAGGGCUAGCGUCGAGUAUGAGUAGUGGAGGUAGAGCACUGAAUGGGCUAGGGGGCAUAGCGCUUACCGAACCUUAUCAAACUCCGAAUGCCACAUACUUUGAGCUCGGCAGUCAGACUACGAAUGAUAAGAUCCGUGGUCAAAAGGGAAACAGCCCAGAUCGUCAGCUAAGGUCCCAAAGUGUAAGUUAAGUGGGAAAGGAUGUGAGAUUUCUAAGACAACUAGGAUGUUGGCUUAGAA
rnacentral:rRNA from 1 species